rnacentral:rRNA from 1 species
GGCUACACAUGCAAGUCGAGCGGCAGCGGGAAAGUAGCUUGCUACUUUUGCCGGCGAGCGGCGGACGGGUGAGUAAUGCCUGGGAAAUUGCCCAGUCGAGGGGGAUAACAGUUGGAAACGACUGCUAAUACCGCAUACGCCCUACGGGGGAAAGCAGGGGACCUUCGGGCCUUGCGCGAUUGGAUUUGCCCAGGUGGGAUUACCAAGUUUGUGAGGUAAUGGCUCACCAAGGCGACUAUCCCUAGCUGGUCUGAAAGGAUGAUCAGCCACACUGGAACUGAGACCCGGUCCAGACUCCUACGGGAGGCAGCAGUGGGGAAUAUUGCACAGUGGGGGAAACCCUGGGGGGGCAAUUCCGGGGGGGUGAAGAAGGCCUUCGGGUUGUAAAGCACUUUCUGCAAGGAGGAAAAGGUGACGCCGAAUCCAUGCAAAUCGUGUUUCAGAUUCCCGAAAGAACUCCCAUGAAUUCCAUGACUGCAGCCGCGGUAAUACGGAGGGUUUUUGGUGUUCC